rnacentral:rRNA from 1 species
UGGCGAACGGGUGAGUAACAUAUCGGAACGUAUCCAAUAAUGGGGGAUAACUAAUCGAAAGGUUGGCUAAUACCGCAUACGCCCUACGGGGGAAAGCAGGGGAUCUUCGGACCUUGCGUUAAUGGAGCGGCCGAUAUCUGAUUAGCUAGUUGGUGGGGUAAAGGCUCACCAAGGCGACGAUCAGUAGCUGGUCUGAGAGGACGACCAGCCACACUGGAACUGAGACACGGUCCAGACUCCUACGGGAGGCAGCAGUGGGGAAUUUUGGACAAUGGGCGCAAGCCUGAUCCAGCCAUUCCGCGUGAGUGAAGAAGGCCUUCGGGUUGUAAAGCUCUUUCGCAAGGGAAGAAACGUUACUGGUGAAUAACCAGUGAUAAUGACGGUACCUUGAUAAGAAGCACCGGCUAACUACGUGCCAGCAGCCGCGGUAAUACGUAGGGUGCGAGCGUUAAUCGGAAUUACUGGGCGUAAAGCGUGCGCAGGCGGUUUUGUAAGUCAGAUGUGAAAUCCCCGAGCUCAACUUGGGAACUGCGUUUGAA